rnacentral:lncRNA from 1 species
GCCCACUCUAAAUAAAGCUUAUUUAUUAUAUAACUUGCUUAUAUUUAUUCUAAAUAGAUAACCAUUUAUUGUUAAUGUGUUAGAGCUAUUUAAGUUAUCUAAAUUAUCUAAUAUAAAAAGAGAUAAUUAAGUAAGUAAGUAAAUUUUAUUUAGAGUCGGCAUACCGGUAUAUUUACAUAAUAACAGAGAAAACAUGAGCUCUGGUG